UUGCUGGGGGAUUAGUGGCGAACGGGUGAGUAACACGUGAGUAACCUGCCCUUGACUCUGGGAUAAGCCUGGGAAACUGGGUCUAAUACCGGAUACGACUAUCUGACGCAUGUCAUGGUGGUGGAAAGCUUUUGCGGUUUUGGAUGGACUCGCGGCCUAUCAGCUUGUUGGUGGGGUAAUGGCCUACCAAGGCGACGACGGGUAGCCGGCCUGAGAGGGUGACCGGCCACACUGGGACUGAGACACGGCCCAGACUCCUACGGGAGGCAGCAGUGGGGAAUAUUGCACAAUGGGCGAAAGCCUGAUGCAGCGACGCCGCGUGAGGGAUGACGGCCUUCGGGUUGUAAACCUCUUUCAGUAGGGAAGAAGCGAAAGUGACGGUACCUGCAGAAGAAGCGCCGGCUAACUACGUGCCAGCAGCCGCGGUAAUACGUAGGGCGCAAGCGUUAUCCGGAAUUAUUGGGCGUAAAGAGCUCGUAGGCGGUUUGUCGCGUCUGCUGUGAAAGACCGGGGCUCAACUCCGGUUCUGCAGUGGGUACGGGCAGACUAGAGUGCAGUAGGGGAGACUGGAAUUCCUGGUGUAGCGGUGAAAUGCGCAGAUAUCAGGAGGAACACCGAUGGCGAAGGCAGGUCUCUGGGCUGUAACUGACGCUGAGGAGCGAAAGCAUGGGGAGCGAACAGGAUUAGAUACCCUGGUAGUCCAUGCCGUAAACGUUGGGCACUAGGUGUGGGGGACAUUCCACGUUUUCCGCGCCGUAGCUAACGCAUUAAGUGCCCCGCCUGGGGAGUACGGCCGCAAGGCUAAAACUCAAAGGAAUUGACGGGGGCCCGCACAAGCGGCGGAGCAUGCGGAUUAAUUCGAUGCAACGCGAAGAACCUUACCAAGGCUUGACAUGAACCGGAAAGACCUGGAAACAGGUGCCCCGCUUGCGGUCGGUUUACAGGUGGUGCAUGGUUGUCGUCAGCUCGUGUCGUGAGAUGUUGGGUUAAGUCCCGCAACGAGCGCAACCCUCGUUCUAUGUUGCCAGCGCGUUAUGGCGGGGACUCAUAGGAGACUGCCGGGGUCAACUCGGAGGAAGGUGGGGACGACGUCAAAUCAUCAUGCCCCUUAUGUCUUGGGCUUCACGCAUGCUACAAUGGCCGGUACAAAGGGUUGCGAUACUGUGAGGUGGAGCUAAUCCCAAAAAGCCGGUCUCAGUUCGGAUUGGGGUCUGCAACUCGACCCCAUGAAGUCGGAGUCGCUAGUAAUCGCAGAUCAGCAACGCUGCGGUGAAUACGUUCCCGGGCCUUGUACACACCGCCCGUCAAGUCACGAAAGUUGGUAACACCC
rnacentral:rRNA from 1 species